rnacentral:rRNA from 1 species
GACGAACGCUGGCGGCGUGCUUAACACAUGCAAGUCGAGCGAGGUCCAACCGGUGGCAACACUGGGGAAGACCUAGCGGCGAACGGGUGAGUAACACGUGAGCAACCUGCCCCGAAGACUGGGAUAACACCGGGAAACCGGUGCUAAUACCGGAUGCCCUCACCGGGUCGCAUGACCUGGUGAGGAAAUGAAUUUUGCUUCGGGAGGGGCUCGCGGGCUAUCAGCUUGUUGGUGGGGUAACGGCNCACCAAGGCUACGACGGCUAGCUGGUCUGAGAGGACGAUCAGCCACACUGGGACUGAGACACGGCCCAGACUCCUACGGGAGGCAGCAGUGGGGAAUCUUGCGCAAUGGGCGAAAGCCUGACGCAGCAACGCCGCGUGGGGAUGAAUGCCUUCGGGUUGUAAACCCCUUUCAGCAGGGACGAAAUUGACGGUACCUGCAGAAGAA